UUGAACGCUGGCGGCAGGCCUAACACCUGCCAGUCGAGCGGAUGAAGGGAGCUUUCUCCUGGAUUCAGCGGCGGACGGGUGAGUAAUGCCUAGGAAUCUGCCUGGUCGUGGGGGAUAACGUCCUGAAACGGGCGCUAAUACCGCAUACGUCCUGAGGGAGAAAGUGGGGGAUCUUCGGACCUCACGCUAUCAGAUGAGCCUAGGUCGGAUUAGCUAGUUGGUGGGGUAAAGGCCUACCAAGGCGACGAUCCGUAACUGGUCUGAGAGGAUGAUCAGCCACACUGGAACUGAGACACGGUCCAGACUCCUACGGGAGGCAGCAGUGGGGAAUAUUGGACAAUGGGCGAAAGCCUGAUCCAGCCAUGCCGCGUGUGUGAAGAAGGUCUUCGGAUUGUAAAGCACUUUAAGUUGGGAGGAAGGGCAGUAAGUUAAUACCUUGCUGUUUUGACGUUACCAACAGAAUAAGCACCGGCUAACUUCGUG
rnacentral:rRNA from 1 species